rnacentral:rRNA from 1 species
GAUGAACGCUGGCGGCGUGCCUAAUACAUGCAAGUCGAGCGAAUGGAUUAAGAGCUUGCUCUUAUGAAGUUAGCGGCGGACGGGUGAGUAACACGUGGGUAACCUGCCCAUAAGACUGGGAUAACUCCGGGAAACCGGGGCUAAUACCGGAUAACAUUUUGAACCGCAUGGUUCGAAAUUGAAGGGCGGCUUCGGCUGUCACUUAUGGAUGGACCCGCGUCGCAUUAGCUAGUUGGUGAGGUAACGGCUCACCAAGGCAACGAUGCGUAGCCGAGCUGAGAGGGUGAUCGGCCACACUGGGACUGAGACACGGCCCAGACUCCUACGGGAGGCAGCAGUAGGGAAUCUUCCGCAAUGGACGAAAGUCUGACGGAGCAACGCCGCGUGAGUGAUGAAGGCUUUCGGGUCGUAAAACUCUGUCGUUAGGGAAGAGCAAGUGCUAGUUGAAUAAGCUGGCACCUUGACGGUACCUAACCAGAAAGCCACGGCUAACUACGUGCCAGCCGCCGCAGUAA